AAGCGAAAGUGACGGUACCUGCAGAAGAAGCACCGGCUAACUACGUGCCAGCAGCCGCGGUAAUACGUAGGGUGCGAGCGUUAUCCGGAAUUAUUGGGCGUAAAGAGCUCGUAGGCGGUUUGUCGCGUCUGUCGUGAAAGUCCGGGGCUUAACCCCGGAUCUGCGGUGGGUACGGGCAGACUAGAGUGCAGUAGGGGAGACUGGAAUUCCUGGUGUAGCGGUGGAAUGCGCAGAUAUCAGGAGGAACACCGAUGGCGAAGGCAGGUCUCUGGGCUGUAACUGACGCUGAGGAGCGAAAGCAUGGGGAGCGAACAGGAUU
rnacentral:rRNA from 1 species